rnacentral:tRNA from 1 species
ACCUGGGUGGCUCAGUGGUUGAGCAUCUGGUUUCAGCUCAGGUCAUGAUCCCCGGGUC